AUCGGCCACAAGGGGACUGAGACACGGCCCUUACUCCUACGGGAGGCAGCAGUGGGGAAUAUUGGACAAUGGGCCACAAGCCUGAUCCAGCACUUCUGUGUGCACGAUGAAGGUCUUCGGAUCGUAAAGUGCUUUCAGCAGGGAAGAAAAAGAUGACGGUACCUACAGAAGAAGCGACGGCUAAAUACGUGCCAGCAGCCGCGGUAAUACGUAUGUCGCAAGCGUUAUCCGGAAUUAUUGGGCGUAAAGCGCGUCUAGGCGGUCUUUUAAGUCUGAUGUUAAAAUGCGGGGCUCAACUCCGUAUUGUGUUGGAAACUGGAAGACUAGAGUAUCAGAGAGGUGGGCGGAACUACAAGUGUAGAGGUGAAAUUCGUAGAUAUUUGUAGGAAUGCCGAUUGGGAAGCCAGCUCACUGGAUGAAUACUGACGCUGAAGCGCGAAAGCGUGGGGAGCAAACGGGAUUAGAUACCCCGGUAGUCCACGCCGUAAACGAUGAUCACUAAGUGUGGGGGGUCGAACCUCCGUGCUCAAGCUAACGCGAUAAGUGAUCCGCCUGGGGAGUACGCACGCAAGUGUGAAACUCAAAGGAAUUGACGGGGACCCGCACAAGCGGUGGAGCAUGUGGUUUAAUUCGACGCAACGCGAGGAACCUUACCAGCCCUUGACAUCCUCAGAACUUAGCAGAGAUGCUUUGGUGCCACUUCGGUGGAACUGAGUGACAGGUGGUGCAUGGCUGUCGUUAGCUCGUGUCGUGAGAUGUUGGGUUAAGUCCCGCAACGAGCGCAACCCCUUUCGUAUGUUACCAUCAUUAAGUUGGGGACUCAUGCGAUACUGCCGGUGACAAACCGGAGGAAGGUGGGGAUGACGUCAAGUCAUCAUGCCCCUUAUGGGCUGGGCUACACACGUGCUACAAUGGGCGAUACAGAGAGUCGCAAUACCGCGAGGUGGAGCUAAUCUCAGAAAGUCGUUCUUAGUUCGGAUCGCAGUCUGCAACUCGACUGCGUGAAGUUGGAAUCGCUAGUAAUCGCGAAUCAGCAAUGUCGCGGUGAAUACGUUCUCGGGUCUUGUACACACCGCCCGUCACACCACGAGAGUUGGUUGCACCUGAAGUAGCAGGCCUAACCCGUUUACGGGAGGGAUGUUCCUAAGGUGUGAUUGGCGAUUGGGGUGAAGUCGUAACAAGGUAUCCGUACGGGAACGUGCGGAUG
rnacentral:rRNA from 1 species